rnacentral:sRNA from 1 species
GGUACAUGAGACCACAUCUCAAAAGAUGGUGUAGAAAAGUGGAAGUGAAGGCUGAUCACCUUUGGAGAAUAUGCUUGGUUGGUCAGCUUCACUGGACUGAGGGAUGCCUAGGAAAUUGGUAAGGGUGUGUCUGUGAGAUGAUUUCUGGAAAAGACUGGCAUGUUUGUCAGAGAACUGGGUGUGAAUAAUUCAUUUGAACAUAAGUAGAACUAUCCAACAGGCUAGAGCCAGGUGGAGUACUAAAGCACAAGACAGGGAAAGCAUUCACACGCAUACACAUACACACACACCCACCUUAUGCAGAUGUGUUCUUGCUGCUGCCAUCUGUAGAUACACCACAGAUUCCUCAACCCAAGUAAUAGCAGUGUAUGUAUGCUCAGAGUUGAAGAAUCACGUCAUAAGAAAUAGGCAGUGGGUAACUCUCAAGGUUCAAAUGAAGAUCAGUGCUUGCUAGGGUGGGGUAAUGAGGGCCAGAGAGUAGAGGAAGACUCCUGGCUUCCUAAAAUUCAAGGCCUACCUUUCGCUGUAAGUUCUAUCAGGAGUUCAGGGCCCUCAGGGAUUUCCUUGGGCUAGUGGUUAGGCAAGAGACCCAGGAGUUUCUAUGCCCAGUCUUGAAUCACUGCAUUCUGUGAUUCUUCAAGGAUAAGACUUCCAUUUGUUCUGAGACAGGGUCUCACUACAUAGCUCUGGCUGGCUUGGAACUCACUCUGAAUGGGUGGCUGUCUUCUAAUUCAUAGAGAUCCCCCUGCUUGUGCAUCUGGAGUGCUGAGAUUAAAGACAUGUACCAACAUGCCCGGCUAAGAAGAGAGCCUUCAAUCUCAAGGAGGCCUAUGAGAAAGCAAGUAUCUACUGCUCAUACCACUGCUCGAGAGCAACACUAGUGUGCCUCAGUUUCCUUGGUAUGAGGACCUUCUGCAGAAGGUGGAGUGGCUUCUUACAAAGGGAGGUUCGUCAAACACAAGCAGCACUCUGAAGGCCAGUGCUACCUGUCUGUUGGGUGAGAUGUCUCCGCUUGUACAGCACCCGCAGGCCGGCAUUCUCCGUCUCAGCAGAUUGACUCAGGUCUCUUGUGAAUUCUGACUAUCUGACUAUCUGACUGCUAGUCAACAAAGCCUGAAGCUCAGCCCUGGGCUGGAUGGAGUUAGAGAUUCUGCCUGUGUUUGUGGGGACACAAUCCAGCAGGACUUGUACUGCCAGCAGUCACCUCGGCAGCUCUCAGGUAGAGGGGCCAUUCUUACCUGGGGCCUACAGAGAGGUGAAAGGACUGGAUGUGAUCUACCCAGAGAGCAGCCUCAGUCUGUGAUUGACAAUGUGGAGAACAACCUCACACUGAGGUCGUCUGCAGCAUUGCUGCCCUCUUGGGCGACUUGACCCCUUCCUUGCCCUUUGUGGAGUCCACAUAUCCCCUACCCCACCCCAAGAAGCUUCUGGGAAAACCUAGCCAAAGAAAGUUUGGUUGUGUGGAAUCCGGUCCAACCAAGCCUCCCCUUACAGUAAAGGAAUAAGAGAUAAGCAAUGACGACUAAGUCUGCCAUCAGGCAGAAAAAUGAAAUUAAAGGCUGGUAGCUUGCUAAAGAGCAGGAGGGAGCAAGGAAGAGAGACAGUGUCCCCAGGUUCUGCAUAGAAUCUGCCCCCAGUGCAGGGAAGGGAGGCCUGCUGGUCUGAAGCACAGACCAUGGAGGAAUGCUGCUUACUGGCUGGCUUCUCACACUUGCUUCUCUAUCUGCAGCCCAGGACCAUCUGCCCAGGGGUGGAACCACCCACAGUGGGCCAAGAACCCAUCCACACCAAUCAGCAGUCAAGAAAACACCUUAUAGACAUGACCAUGGGCCAAUUUAAAGCAGUCAAUUCCUCACUGAAGUUCCCGGCUUCCAGCUGACUCUGGUUUGUGUCAAGUUGACAAACUACUAAGUGGAUUGUGCUCACUGAGGUCUCUGUGAGGCAGAAUACAGUCCAGUGCUGAUACCCAGGACCCAGUGCUGAUGCACAGUACAGAGUCUCAGAGCUGACGACAUGGGCUCUGUAGGUCACAAGCAUCUUCGAUUUCUGAAGGUUAUCAUGACUGUUUUUUUCUCAGCCCCAAUGCUCUCUAACACAGAAUAGCCUGACUUCAAUAACACCCUCGAUACUAAAUCCAUGAAGAUCACAGCCAGGUCCUGUGUUUCCUCACUGUGGAAGAAAGAGUUCACUACAGGGUUCAGCUUCCUCCAUCCAGACACCCAUCCUCCCUUUCCCCCAUUUCCUAUACUUGGUUGAUUGAUUCAGAAUAGAUCACUUUCUGACUGGGCAGUGCUCCUUUUCCUCUGACAGCCAUCAUCAGGGACCCAUGUAAUGUCCCAGCAUUCCGAAUGUUGAGCUCCACCCUGAGAGGAAUCAGAGUAACCAUCUCUCCACCGGUCUGCACUUCACAGGGAGUCCGUUUCCAGACAUCGACUCUGGGUGUCCCUGGGCACUGGAAUAAAUAAAAAUGUCACUUCCUGGUUC